CUCCCAGUCUUGCACGCCCCCGCAGUCCCCCCAACCCGACCCCCGCCCCUUGUCACUACGUGUCGGGCUCGCUCUGCCUGGAGGGAGGCUGGGGUGCGGGGAAGCAGGGAGUGCAAACAGACAUUGGUUCUCUUUCCUCUUCCCAUUCAUACAUUUCUGUUGGAGUCCUAGGGCCGCCGCGCCGGGAGUCGCAAUGAAUGGAUGGAUGCCCGCGCGCUGGGACCACCAGGUCCGCAGAGAUGUCGCCGGCGCUAGGGGCGCUCCUCCCGCGUGGGGACAGGCGCCCUCGCCUAGGCGCAGUGUGGGGGGACCCCAAAAGACCCUUAAGAGGCCAAAGGCCUGCUCUCCCCGUUCUCCCCAACACACACCAGGGGUCUUUUCUGCCCCGGAGAAGUUGGGACGCAAAACGUAGGGAACUGCGCUCAGUCUCCGCACCACGAAGAGUCGAGAUGGGGACCGAGACCAGCACGGACGGUAGCAACAGAGAGGGGAGCGCCCAAGUGGCGCAACGUUGUGGCUGAAGCCAAGCCUGUCGCCUCCCCCUGAGUACCGCUGGCGGCCCAGGACCGUGCGCUCUCCCUUCCUGAGCACCCAGGGAUGCACUGCGCAGGGAAGGAGGGCACGGCGGGAGGGUGCUUGCAGGGGACUGCUGCGCGGAUUCCCCAUCCGCACCCGGCUCGCGGGGAAUCCGUGGGCUUGCACUCGCCAGAAAGAGCUGCUGCAGGAGCAGCCGGAUGGUGAGGCCCGUUCCCGACCCUGGGUGGGAGGAACUUAAAGGGCUGAGUUCUGAGGCGCCAGGCACAGGGCGCAGCUUCAUAAAUGCACCCAAAAGCUUCCAUGGACAGACGGCACAGAUGUCGCUGAAGUGAACCUAAGGAAGUUUGCUACCCCAAGACCCGGGCUUCGCGCCAGGUGACAACAGACGUCUGGGAGUGUGGUGACACCUGCGCAGAGUCCCUGGUGGUUCAACCUGUCCGAGAAGGUUGCAAGAAGAUGCCACUGUCUUACCUUUCUCCCCUAGUGCUCAUGCCCCAGAAAAGGCCACUGGGUCACUAGAUCCCAACCCCUUGUGCCAUGAGAGGGAAGCCUGCACAACGGCGUUGGCACUCCCCCAUAAAUCGUCUCCUGGGUCCUUCCCAUUACGCACACACAUAAUGUCAUUUCUCCAGGGAAAAAUAAAUAACAACUUUCUUGACUCUCCACCUUCUCCCUCCAUCUCUACCCAGGUUCUCUGUUUCCCUUUACAAAAGAAUGCAGCUGUCUAGAUGGUGGCUCUGGUCUCUCUCCUCUCUCUGGGUCUUGAAUCGUUCCAAAACACUUUCUUAAGAGUUCUACUUCUGCUGUCCUGCAAUAUCUCACUUUUACUGAGGUCACCAUUCAACCCAAAACUCUCUAUCCAAGAGUCCAUUCUUAGACAUCUUAGAUGACUUACCCAUGACAGUGGACAGAAUUCUUCAUUCCUGCCUCCUUAGAAUACAACCUUGACUCAGCUUUCCAGAUGCUCCACUCUGCUGAUUUGUGUCCCACCUUUCUGGAUAUUCCCCCUUAGACACAUUUGCUGAACUCCUCGUCUCCCCACUGUCUUCAUGUUGCAGUGUCCCAAGGCUCAUCUGUGGACCUUUUAUUUUCCAUCACUCCCUGCUCCCUUGGUGAUCUCGCUCAGCCUCAUGGGUUUAAAUCUGAAUACUAAUGACGCUUGCACUUAUAUGUUUAGCCCAGACCCUCCCCUAAACUCUACAUUCAUGUAUCUAGCUACCAGCUCCACUGGGGCAUCUAGAAGUUAUCUGAAACCUAACAUGGCUGUUACUGAGCUGUUGGUUUUACCCCCAUCACAAACCUGCUCUUCCCACAGUUUUUCCACCUUGGUGAAUGGAAAGCCCACACCCAUCAUGUCUGGGUUAUAGCUGUUGCCACCUCCCUCAGCUCUCACUCUGCCCACGCCUCCUUCACUCUAUUCUCAGCCACAUGGGCCUUCCUAGAACCCACCAGGCACCCUCCCAACUCAGAGCCUUUGCAGCUGCUGAUUCCUCUCCAGGAACUCCUCUGCCCAAUGUCCUGAAUAUCUGCAGGGCACAUUCUCUUCCUCUUUCACAUUUUUUCCUCUUGCACCUCUUCAAGAAGCCUCCAGAGUCCACCCCACCACACACUGCUACACCACCUCUCCCAGCACUUAUUCCCGCCUUUCUUUGCUUUACUUCCUCCAUGCAUUGCUUGUGGUUGACUUAUCUGCCUCGUUUAGUGUAGUUCCCCAGUAAAAUGUCAGCUUCCUAAUGGCAGGAAUUUUGCCUUUGCUUAUAAUUGCAUAAAAACUACAUAACCUCAUCAAACUUUCUUUACCUGUCACCACACAUUCAGGAGUUCCUGAUUCAUCUCUUAGAACAUAGAAGAAACUGAGCUUGGAGGUUGGCAAAGGCCAUUUCUCUGUCAUAGUGAUCUCUCACAUUAAAUGUGUGUGUGUGUGUGUGUGUGUAUCUGCCCAAGACCACUGUCACACCUCUGGUGAUUCCUGAGAAAUGCAAUCUCUCUACCUUCCUCACUUUCUUCUUCAAUCCUUUCUUUGCCUUCCCCUAUUUCUUUCUUUUCUCUCCAUUAGUCUUCUUUUCUUUUCUGCCUUAAGCCUCCCAUGGGCACCAAGGGGCAUGCCUACCUAGCCCUUGGCCACCAAGGAGGUAAAGGGGACCUUCAGGCUUACCUGUGUUCUCAAAGCCGCCUGCUCCUUCCCAUCCAUCCUGUUUCAAUGC
rnacentral:lncRNA from 1 species